CGUGGUGCCAUUUCUCUCUCUGCCGGCAGUCCUGCAACUCGUUUCUCUACUCUACGGUCAUCUUCCUUCAAAUGUUUUAUAUUUUUGCCGUUUACUCAAGAAAAUUUGCAUGAAUAACGAGAUGCCUGAAUUUAUUCUGAAGGUCGGGCUGAUUUUUUGCUUAUAUCUGUAAUUAAUUUUCAAUUUAUUUCACUAUUUAGUAAAUGAAGCUUUCUAUUAACUUCGUUCAAUUAAGUAACAUUCAUAUUGUUGCUGUUUGGUGUAAAGCUUAAAUUGCAGUUUGUUUACUUCAAAUUGGACUGUAAUAAGAAGAUAUACAGUGAAAAUCUAGUAUUCUUCUCAGUAUUUUCUUGACUUCCUUGUUUUAUAUUCUUUUUUUUUUUUUCCCUCUCUCUCUCUCUAGAUAACUCGUGUAGUUAGUUUUUGAAUUUUGAUACCUGGAGUUUUGAUUAGUUCAUAGAUUGGGGCUAAUGUGUACGUACUUGUGUGUUUGUGUGGCACUCCUCUUACAGUACCAAAAAUGUUAUGGCAUUGUUAUGUUUUGCUAAAAAAUCUGCCCGGAGUGUGUCAAUUUGAUAUGAUCUGCAACUCUGUCCCAUGAAGUUGUGAUGUAAACAAUUUUUACAUUUCUACUUCUUCCAAAAUGUCCUGACUGAGGUUAUACAGUGAAAACAAGGUCAUAAACUCAUAAUUAACUGGAGCAGAUAUUUAAUAAGAGAAAGGACGUGUUGGGAGCUGGUCUCACUAAAUAUGCAGCCAAAUUGUCUUGUUACAAACUACAAGUGAAUUCGGUCCAUUUAUGAAUAAAUACUGUUUUGUACUUUGAGCACACUUCUGAUCGAUUGUAAUCACUUUCAGAUUAUGGUCACAAUAUAGAUUUCAUGGAACAAAUUUGUGCUACUAUUCUACUGUAUGAUCUGUUUAAAUGUAGUGUUGUGAUGUAUUUUCCAAACUGAAUGUGCAAUGUUGCAGAACUGAAAAAGAUUGAUAAGUGCACAUUACGAUGGCAGAGUCUCAGAAGAUAGCGUCAUCCUAAAAAUUGAAGGAAAAAAAAAUUCAUCGUUCAACGAUUUGGGGCGGGAUGAGUGAAAUGUUGGAGGACUUGAAAAUGGAGGUGAUUGGGCCAUUUUACCAUCUCUAUCUGCCACGAAACCUUGGUGUGUGACCAAUAUCAGGGAUCUUGUUGCAUGGCCCAGUGUGGGAAAACCAAAACCAAAUGCCAUUGCCAAUGAGGCUGAUGUUCCCUUUUAUAAGAUCUGUGCUAUUGAAUUGGUGUAUGGAGUUUCAGGUGUAAUUGUUUUUUGUUUCUCUUUGUUUUUUUGAUGACGAAUUUUUAAUCAUAAAUCUUUUAGAUAUCUAAUUGUGUUUUCACUUAUAGUGAUGACAGGGUAAAUAGACCUAUGCGUGUCAUUUCUUUAUUUUAUUUUAUUAUAUUUAUUUUUAUUUUCUAUUUUUUAUCUUGUCCACCUAUUUGCUGCUAGUUGCUGCUAGUUUAACAAUUGGACUAAUUUCCCUUUUUUGUCUAUUAUGUGUGGGGUUUCAAUUAUGAACUUGGUUUUGUUCCUGCCCUUAUUUACAUAUUUUUCAAGCUUGCUGAGAUGUUUUAUUUGUUGAAUGUUUCAGCGACAUCAGAAGAAGAUAUUAGAGAGCUAUUUUCUAUAGCUCACAAGGACAGCCCCAUCCAUUGUAUUCAUAGAUGAAAUAGAUGCGAUUGCAACUAAAUGGUAAAUUUCCAGUAACGUAAUGGAGCAACAAAUUGUCACAAUACUAAUGUUGUGCAUGGAUAAGUCAUCGAGAAUUGUCAAACCUAUAAAUGAAAGUGGAACUUUAGAGAAUUCUGAUUGCAUGUCUGUGUAUGUACUCGUUAUUGGAGCAACAAAUAGGCCUGAUUCUAUUAAUCCUGCAUUGAUGAGGCUUGGAUGAUUUGACCAUGAGAUUUAGCUUUUGAUCUUAUGAAUAUAGCUUAGUCCACUGCAGGGAUUGUUGGAGCUGACUUGGCAGCACUUAUGGACAAAGCUGGCAAUCUAGCAAAUGAAUUGGAUAAUAGGCCAAUGCAAGUAUCAGGUUUCUACAGAACCUGUAUAAGGGGAGUUUGUUGAAGAAUGGUGGAGACAACCUUGAUCGUGUGAAGAAAUAGAAAGGCUCGGCAUGACAAUGGCUGAUUUUGAGGUAACAUUGCAACCUAACAUUAAAUGCAUAUGAAAAUUGUGAAUGUAUAUCGAUGCUAUAUGCUUGCCCUUUUAUUUCGUACCUUUGUUCUCCUGCAUUGUUAUCAAAUUGGAUUUUGUUUAUUUGGUUAUUUUUUACAUAUCGCCUAGUUCUUUAAUUAAUGUGUAUUGUUUGUUGGUUUUGCGGUUCAAUCUAUUUUUUUCCUGGUCAUGGAUGGACAUUGAUGUUGAUUUGGUCAUUUGUCUUUCAACUGUUGUAAUUGGUAUAUUUUUUCGUGGGCUAGGUUUUGGUCUAUCUUUGCUUUGGAAUUCUGUAGCUUCCUUGUUUUUAGAUAUAGAUUUGAUGUCUUAUUGGAACUCUUCUGUCAUGUUGGUAUGUAUCCUGUGUAAAUAGGUUUUGCAGCUUGACACCUUUUAGCAAAAUCUCCUUUCUUGUAAUAUUAAUUCUCUGUACUUAUCUUAGGAAGGCAUUUGUCUAUACUCUAGAGGCAUCGUUUUUCCUUUUUCUUAUUGUUUUUGGUUCCCUCAUUUCCUUUCGGUUUCUGAUUUACUCUUUCUAUGUGAUCUCCCCCUCAAUUAAUUGCUAAACACACGAUUUUGUAGAAAGGUGCUAAAAUGGUUCAACACUAAAUCUUUGUGCUCCUCAUUAUUUACUAUCAAUUGGAUAUUUUAUAGAUGAGUUGUGUAGAUUUUCGCUUUUUGGAGUUCCAUGUCGCUAUUUUUUCAGAAGCAAAGAUCAUAGCCCUUUGAUCUAUUAUAGUUGUUGAGAGGAUUUGCAGUUUCAAUUGUUCUUAAGUAAUUAGUUUAGAUAUUUGAUUCACAAGAAAGAUCGUCCCCCUUGGUCUAAGUUCAACAUUGGGAUGUUGUUCAUGGUUCAAUAUCGGCUUUUGGUCAAGGUUUAAGGUUCUCUCAGUUGAGGAGAAAUGAUGCAAUAUUAUAGGAGAUGAUUGUUUAUUAAGUUUCCUAUUUUGAUUUGUAUUUUAGGAAACAUGAUUAGAGUGUGAUUUAAUCACUUUUAUAACAUUUCUUUACUUAGUUAUGAUUUUUGAAACCCUAUAUAAAGGGGGUUAUGUCGAUAUACAGUGGUGAUAAUGAAGGCCCGGUGAGGCAGAUGCCUGCACUGGACUUUGGGCUGCUACGAAUUAUGCAUGGCAGCCCAGGCCCAUGUUAAAAUAAAAAUAAAAUAAAAUUGAAUUGGGCCAAUUAAUUGGCCCAAUUACAAGCUACAACAUUACCCAUAUGAUUGAGGAGGAGGCUUGAGCCUUAAAUGGUGGUAAAAGUCGAGAAGAAGAAAUCGUAGAAUAUUGCCCUUGUUGGUUGCUGCUGGCUUCAAGCCUUAGACCCAAUGCGAGUCGCGUGACGACAACUGCCUGCUUCGAGUCUUCGACGGGACGAUGACUGCUUGCUUCCAAUUUCUCAAGUUUUUGUAUGGUUGUAUCUUUAUUCUUUAUGUCUGCAACUCAUUUUAUUUCAUGUAUCAAUGAGAAUUGAGAGAUGUAAUUUGUUUUGGUUUUCUUCUAUUUUAUAGAUUCUCUAAUUCAUUUUAUAUAUCACUUAAUUUCUUUGUAAAGAUUGAAAUUGGGUUUUAG
rnacentral:lncRNA from 1 species